rnacentral:rRNA from 1 species
UACAGAGGUGGCAAGCGUUGUUCGGAAUUACUGGGCGUAAAGGGCGCGUAGGCGGUUCGUCAAGUCCUGUGUGAAAUCCCCCGGCUCAACUGGGGAACUGCACAGGAAACUAGCGGGCUUGAGUUCGGGAGAGGGAAGCGGAAUUCCGGGUGUAGCGGUGAAAUGCGUAGAUAUCCGGAGGAACACCGGUGGCGAAGGCGGCUGCGUGGACCGACACUGACGCUGAGGCGCGAAAGCUAGGGGAGCAAACGGG